rnacentral:rRNA from 1 species
UACGUAGGGGGCAAGCGUUGUCCGGAUUUAUUGGGCGUAAAGAGCGUGUAGGCGGCCAGGUAGGUCCGUUGUGAAAACUCGAGGCUCAACCUCGAGACGCCGAUGGAAACCAUCUGGCUAGAGUCCGGAAGAGGAGAGUGGAAUUCCUGGUGUAGCGGUGAAAUGCGCAGAUAUCAGGAGGAACACCGGUGGCGAAGGCGGGUCUCUGGGCCGUAACUGACGCUGAGGAGCGAAAGCGUGGGGAGCAAACAGG